rnacentral:rRNA from 1 species
GACGAACGCUGGCGGCGUGCCUAAUACAUGCAAGUCGAGCGGACGGAUGGGAGCUUGCUCCCAGACCGUCAGCGGCGGACGGGUGAGUAACACGUGGGCAACCUGCCUGUAAGACUGGGAUAACUCCGGGAAACCGGGGCUAAUACCGGAUAACUCUUUCCCUCACAUGAGGGAAAGCUGAAAGAUGGCAUCUCGCUAUCACUUACAGAUGGGCCCGCGGCGCAUUAGCUAGUUGGUGAGGUAACGGCUCACCAAGGCGACGAUGCGUAGCCGAUCUGAGAGGGUGAUCGGCCACACUGGGACUGAGACACGGCCCAGACUCCUACGGGAGGCAGCAGUAGGGAAUCUUCCGCAAUGGACGAAAGUCUGACGGAGCAACGCCGCGUGAGUGAUGAAGGUUUUCGGAUCGUAAAACUCUGUUGUCAGGGAAGAACAAGUACCGGAGUAACUGCCGGUACCUUGACGGUACCUGACCAGAAAGCCACGGCUAACUACGUG